AGUGAACGCUGGCGGUAGGCCUAACACAUGCAAGUCGAACGGCAGCACAGUAAGAGCUUGCUCUUACGGGUGGCGAGUGGCGGACGGGUGAGGAAUACAUCGGAAUCUACUUUUUCGUGGGGGAUAACGUAGGGAAACUUACGCUAAUACCGCAUACGACCUACGGGUGAAAGCAGGGGAUCUUCGGACCUUGCGUGAUUGAAUGAGCCGAUGUCGGAUUAGCUAGUUGGCGGGGUAAAGGCCCACCAAGGCGACGAUCCGUAGCUGGUCUGAGAGGAUGAUCAGCCACACUGGAACUGAGACACGGUCCAGACUCCUACGGGAGGCAGCAGUGGGGAAUAUUGGGCAAUGGGCGCAAGCCUGAUCCAGCCAUACCGCGUGGGUGAAGAAGGCCUUCGGGUUGUAAAGCCCUUUUGUUGGGAAAGAAAAGCAGCAGGUUAAUACCCCGCUGUUCUGACGGUACCCAAAGAAUAAGCACCGGCUAACUUCGUG
rnacentral:rRNA from 1 species